rnacentral:rRNA from 1 species
GACGAACGCUGGCGGCGUGCCUAAUACAUGCAAGUCGAGCGAGCGGAACUAACAGAUUUACUUCGGUAAUGACGUUAGGAAAGCGAGCGGCGGAUGGGUGAGUAACACGUGGGGAACCUGCCCCAUAGUCUGGGAUACCACUUGGAAACAGGUGCUAAUACCGGAUAAGAAAGCAGAUCGCAUGAUCAGCUUUUAAAAGGCGGCGUAAGCUUUCGCUAUGGGAUGGCCCCGCGGUGCAUUAGCUAGUUGGUAAGGUAAAGGCUUACCAAGGCGAUGAGGCAUAGCCGAGUCGAGAGACUGAUCGGCCACAUUGGGACUGAGACACGGCCCAAACUCCUACGGGAGGCAGCAGUAGGGAAUCUUCCACAAUGGACGCAAGUCUGAUGGAGCAACGCCGCGUGAGUGAAGAAGGUUUUCGGAUCGUAAAGCUCUGUUGUUGGUGAAGAAGGAUAGAGGUAGUAACUGGCCUUUAUUUGACGGUAAUCAACCAGAAAGUCACGGCUAACUACGUG